UACGGAGGCCCCAAGCGUUGUUCGGAUUUAUUGGGCGUAAAGGGCGUGUAGGCGGUCAAGUAAGUGGAAUGUGAAAUGCCUCGGCUUACCCGAGGACCUGCAUCCCAAACUGCUUGGCUUGAGUAUGGGAGAGGAUGAGGGAAUUCCUGGUGUAGCGGUGAAAUGCGUAGAUAUCAGGAGGAACACCGGUGGCGAAAGCGCUCAUCUGGCCCAAUACUGACGCUGAGGCGCGAAAGCUAGGGGAGCAAACGGG
rnacentral:rRNA from 1 species